rnacentral:rRNA from 1 species
GCGCAGCCGUCGAGAAAACUUCGCAAUGCGCGAAAGCGCGACGAGGGGAUUCCAAGUGCAUGCACUAAGUGUAUGCUUUUCGUGAGUUUAAAACGCUCACGGAAUAAGGGCUGGGUAAGACUGGUGCCAGCCGCCGCGGUAAUACCAGCGGCCCUAGUGGUGAUCGUUAUUAUUGGGCCUAAAGCGUCCGUAGCCGGUCCGGUAAAUCUCUGGGUAAAUCGUUGGGCUUAACUCAGCGAAUUCUGGGGAGACUGCUGGACUUGGGACCGGGAGAGGUCGGAGGUACUCCAGGGGUAGGGGUGAAAUCCUGUAAUCCUUGGGGGACCACCGGUGGCGAAGGCGUCCGACCAGAACGGGUCCGACGGUAAGGGACGAAGCCCUGGGGCGCGAACCGGAUUAGAUACCCGUGUAGUU